ACGGAAGGCAGCAGUGGGGAAUAUUGGACAAUGGGGGAAACCCUGAUCCAGCGACGCCGCGUGAGUGAAGAAGUAUUUCGGUAUGUAAAGCUCUAUCAGCAGGGAAGAUGAUGACGGUACCUGACUAAGAAGCUCCGACUAAAUACGUGCCAGCAGCCGCGGUAAUACGUAUGGAGCAAGCGUUAUCCGGAUUUACUGGGUGUAAAGGGAGCGCAGGCGGUUUUGUAAGUUGGGUGUGAAAACCCGGGGCUCAACCCCGGGACUGCACCCAAAACUGCAGGACUAGAGUGUCGGAGGGGCAAGCGGAAUUCCUAGUGUAGCGGUGAAAUGCGUAGAUAUUAGGAGGAACACCGGUGGCGAAGGCGGCUUGCUGGACGAUAACUGACGCUGAGGCUCGAAAGCGUGGGGAGCAAACAGGAUUAGAUACCCUGGUA
rnacentral:rRNA from 1 species